CUGAGCUCUCUGUGCUUUCUUACAGUUGGAGACAGACAACUACAGAUAAAGAAGAGGCGAUGGGAGACGGUCAGGUGUCCGAUUUGAAGGCAUUCUUGGUAAAGGAUAAGACUGCCCUCACAAGGAAGAGGGGGAAUACUGACCAGCUGAAGCUGGAAAACCCAAAGAAACAGAAAGUGAAGGAGCCAAACCAAAAGAAUCAGGGAAGAUGUGGGAAAGACCAGAGACGUUCCUGAGUAAGUGAACUCUGUAUUUUCCUGUGACUUGUAGCUGUGCCUGAAAGAAGAAAGUACAUUCUCUGUUUCAAAAGAUACCAGGCAAGGUUCAUUUUGUGUCCCUUCUCUGUGCAGGAGGUGAGGUGGAGAUAGUGAGGAUGGGGCUGCAGGAGCGGCAGUGACACCACCUUUUGUCCAGAGUCCGGCCUGGGUAGUAGAAUUAGAACCUGCACUCCCUGUUUUUAACCAGUCUUUGCUUUCACUCAAGCAGAGUUAAGAAUCCAGUAGAACCAUAGAGCAGUUGGUCACGUGAGCUGCUGCCUGCCACAGAAAUCAAUCUCUUGCAUGUUCUGUGAGAGCAGAGGAAGAAGGCUGAUGUCCUGAGGACCGGCCCCUGCCUUAGCUGCCUCCUUUUUCUUUUUAAUAAAAAUCAAAAGUAAUCGUAAACUAGGUAACAAUCAGUGUAACCACAUCUUGUCCAAAGACUAGAACCAAAAACAUUUUAAAAGGCAUUAGGCGUACAGUUGUCGCUGACCUCCCUUUACCUCCCCUGUCUGGUUUCUACCACGUUCUUGUGUCAGGUGAUAGUGUCAGUAGCUCCCUUUGUCCAGUGGAACAAAGGAAAAACCUCAUGGAAAAAACCAUGGUAGGUUUUGCUUUGGGAGCUUCAGUGCUGGAAACUGCACGGCUGCCUGGCAGGGCUUGUGCGCCAGUUGGUGAGGAGCGGGGUCUGAGCUCUACAGUUAAUUCAAGCGGUGUUGCUCUAAGUAGUAUUUCCAGUUUGGGGUGAAUCACUUGGCCUUGGAGAACAGAAGUAGUCUAAUUGGAUGUUUUCUCGGAGUUUGUUAGUUCCCUGUAAUC